rnacentral:lncRNA from 1 species
CACAGCCAUUCAUUCUUUCUCUUCUUCAGUGGGAUGGGGGACACAAGCAAAAAGUGUAAGAACUUGUGAGUUAAGAUAAGGAUGAUUUAAUAAGGAAAACAAGCAAAAUACCAGAACAAACAAACAAGCCAACAACAAGCAAAAAAAAAAGGAUAAACAAAGUAAGUGAUACACAACACAACUGGUCGCCACCAGCUGUCUGAGGGAUGCUCGGCAAGUCCCUGAGCAACAUCAGCCCCUCGUGGGCAAUUCUCCCUAGUUUUGUUGUUCAGCAUGACAUCAUAAAGUAAUGGAACAUCUAUUUGGUCAGUUGGAUCAGUUGUCCUCAUUCUGUCCCCUCCUUAGCUCCUUGUGCACCCUGCUGUCAGGGCAGCACAAGAAGCUGAAAAGUCCUUAAUUUACUAUAACCACCACUCAGCAACAGCUAAAACAUCAGUGUGUUAUCAACAUUACUCUCACCCUAAAUCCGGAAUACAGCACCAUGCCAGCUACUAGGAAGAAAAUUAUGCUAGCCAAAAGCAGGACAGAAAAGCUGUGUGGGUGCUUAGCUGCUGGCUGGUGUCAAGACACCUCAAAGAUGGAAAGGGAGUACUACUGAAGCUGUUCAUAAGCUGGAUAAAACCUCAGGGAGACAUCUCUCAGUAAAAGGUAUUUGUAAUGCAUUUAAAGAGAAACACAAGGGAACAGAAAGAUAACACCCAGAGAGACUAGACAGAAGUGAAGAAUGCACAGUCCAGCAAACAAUCUGAAUUUGAACAGUAAUUCCAACAUAUGCCCUAGAGAUCACUUUCAAUCCAUAAGAAGAGUUUAUAGAAGACUGAAAAAUUACAGUUGCUUCAAGGACUGACUUAGCACACCUGACAUAAGGUAAACAGGAGAUAUCAGAUUUUCAGGAGCAGAUUAAUUGCUCUCUAGUCUUAGGAAAAUUCAGACUAAAGGAUGCCUGGGUUUACAAUAUAUAGACAGACAUAAAACAGUAAGUAUGUUAUUUCAAAUAAGCAAUAUGCAUGGUAAUAUAUGUCCGAUCACAAGAAUACAGUGAAUUUGGAAACGAAUGUGAUUUGUGUCCUGGAU